UGCGUCUUCAGCGUUGACUUCAUGGUCAUGAUCCAAAUUUAGGUAUGGACGCCAAAUGAACUGAAAUGUGAAAGUAACUUGGAUUAUAAACUUGGUAGAAGAAGUUAACAAAUUAUAACGAAAUAAUGAGGUUAUUAAAUGAACUGAAAUGUGAAAGUAACUUGGAUUAUAAACUUGGUAGAAGAAGUUAACAAAUUAUAACGAAAUAAUGAGGUUAUUAUCCUUAC
rnacentral:lncRNA from 1 species